UACGUAGGCAGCGAGCGUUGUUCGGAGUUACUGGGCGUAAAGAGUGCGUAGGUGGCUCUCUAAGUUUGGUGUGAAAUCUCCCGGCUCAACUGGGAGGGUGCGCCGAAAACUGGAGGACUAGAGUGUGGGAGAGGAAAGCGGAAUUCCUGGUGUAGCGGUGAAAUGCGUAGAUAUCAGGAGGAACACCUGCGGUGUAGACGGCUUUCUGGUCCUUAACUGACGCUGAGGCGCGAAAGCAUGGGGAGCGAACGGG
rnacentral:rRNA from 1 species